ensembl:lncRNA
UUAAAGUUUGAAGUUGCCCCAAUUUAAUUCUGGAUAGCAGCGGAGGGAAUGUGUUUUUAGAUGAGUGCUAGAACGUGCCAAGAGCUGAAGAACGUUGGUUCCAUCUGCUUAAUUUGAGCUGUUCACAGAAACCUCGAUAUCUUGGCUCAGGACGGUCCGAGCUCCUUGGAAAUAAAAGCCGUUCUCUAGAGUAUAUUACAAGGUAAAUGUAUAAACAUUUUGCACAUUCUUGUUCCUUAGACAUAACUUAAGUCCGACUUUGCUCACAGUUCCCCUUUUAGGGAAAAUUUAUAAUGGGAAGUGUUCUCAGUCUUCAUUUUUUUAGUGGGUACCUAGGUAAGUAUAGUGUGCAUGACCAACAUUUCAGGUUUGAGUCUUCUCUUAUUUUUUUAUGGGGACGAGAGAGUGCAAUUUUCCCGCCCAAAUCUCCCUCACUUUCAGGUUGAAUAUAUCUAAUGGGAGACCAGAUACAAACCUGAAAUUUGCACCGAAAUUAGUCCUCUAUAGU